rnacentral:sRNA from 1 species
CUAUCUUCUUCCACUUCUAUUGACAAUCCUUAAGUUCCCUAUUUAACUACUGGGGUAUCACUUACAGGUACCUUUCACUUAGUUUCAGGUUUGACAAAUAUUCUGCCCUUUCUCAUCCAACAAGUAUCCUUCACUUCCUUAAUAAACAAAUACUGAUAUCUUUCACUUUCUCAUAUAACAAGUAUCUUCUAGUUAAAGUAUCUUUUACUUCCUCAGUC